rnacentral:rRNA from 1 species
AUUGAACGCUGGCGGCAUGCUUUACACAUGCAAGUCGAACGGUAACAGGUUAAGCUGACGAGUGGCGAACGGGUGAGUAAUGCAUCGGAACGUGCCCGAUCGUGGGGGAUAACGCAGCGAAAGCUGCGCUAAUACCGCAUACGAUCUGAGGAUGAAAGCGGGGGACCGUAAGGCCUCGCGCGAUCGGAGCGGCCGAUGUCAGAUUAGGUUGUUGGUGGGGUAAAGGCUCACCAAGCCAACGAUCUGUAGCUGGUCUGAGAGGACGACCAGCCACACUGGGACUGAGAAACGGCCCAGACUCCUACGGGAGGCAGCAGUGGGGAAUUUUGGACAAUGGGCGAAAGCCUGAUCCAGCAAUGCCGCGUGCAGGAAGAAGGCCUUCGGGUUGUAAACUGCUUUUGUACGGAGCGAAAAGGUCCCCUCUAAUACAGGGGGCUCAUGACGGUACCGUAAGAAUAAGCACCGGCUAACUACGUGCCAGCCGCCGCAGUAACAC